AGGACGAACGCUGGCGGCGCGCCUAAUACAUGCAAGUCGAACGGGCUACCUUCGGGUAGCCAGUGGCGGACGGGUGAGUAACACGUGGGUGACCUGCCUUCUCGUGGGGAAUAACGCUGCGAAAGCAGCGCUAAUACCGCAUACGCUCCGCGCUUCAUUACGCGGAGGAAAGCUUGAUGCGCGAGAAGAGGGGCCUGCGGCGGAUUAGCUAGUCGGGGGGGUAAUGGCCCACCGAGGCGACGAUCCGUAGCUGAUCUGAGAGGAUGAUCAGCCACACUGGGACUGAGACACGGCCCAGACUCCUACGGGAGGCAGCAGUAAGGAAUCUUCCGCAAUGGUCGCAAGACUGACGGAGCGACGCCGCGUGCGCGACGAAGCCCUUCGGGUGUAAAGCGCUUUUCCCAGGGACGAUACAAGACGGUACCUGGGGAAGAAGCCUCGGCUAACUACGUGCCAGCAGCCGCGGUAA
rnacentral:rRNA from 1 species